rnacentral:rRNA from 1 species
GAUGAACGCUGGCGGCGUGCCUAAUACAUGCAAGUCGAGCGAACGGACGAGAAGCUUGCUUCUCUGAUGUUAGCGGCGGACGGGUGAGUAACACGUGGAUAACCUACCUAUAAGACUGGGAUAACUUCGGGAAACCGGAGCUAAUACCGGAUAAUAUUUUGAACCGCAUGGUUCAAAAGUGAAAGACGGUCUUGCUGUCACUUAUAGAUGGAUCCGCGCUGCAUUAGCUAGUUGGUAAGGUAACGGCUUACCAAGGCAACGAUGCAUAGCCGACCUGAGAGGGUGAUCGGCCACACUGGAACUGAGACACGGUCCAGACUCCUACGGGAGGCAGCAGUAGGGAAUCUUCCGCAAUGGGCGAAAGCCUGACGGAGCAACGCCGCGUGAGUGAUGAAGGUCUUCGGAUCGUAAAACUCUGUUAUUAGGGAAGAACAUAUGUGUAAGUAACUGUGCACAUCUUGACGGUACCUAAUCAGAAAGCCACGGCUAACUACGUGCCAGCAGCCGCGGUAAUACGUAGGUGGCAAGCGUUAUCCGGAAUUAUUGGGCGUAAAGCGCGCGUAGGCGGUUUUUUAAGUCUGAUGUGAAAGCCCACGGCUCAACCGUGGAGGGUCAUUGGAAACUGGAAAACUUGAGUGCAGAAGAGGAAAGUGGAAUUCCAUGUGUAGCGGUGAAAUGCGUAGAGAUAUGGAGGAACACCAGUGGCGAAGGCGACUUUCUGGUCUGUAACUGACGCUGAUGUGCGAAAGCGUGGGGAUCAAACAGGAUUAGAUACCCUGGUAGUCCACGCCGUAAACGAUGAGUGCUAAGUGUUAGGGGGUUUCCGCCCCUUAGUGCUGCAGCUAACGCAUUAAGCACUCCGCCUGGGGAGUACGACCGCAAGGUUGAAACUCAAAGGAAUUGACGGGGACCCGCACAAGCGGUGGAGCAUGUGGUUUAAUUCGAAGCAACGCGAAGAACCUUACCAAAUCUUGACAUCCUUUGACAACUCUAGAGAUAGAGCUUUCCCCUUCGGGGGACAAAGUGACAGGUGGUGCAUGGUUGUCGUCAGCUCGUGUCGUGAGAUGUUGGGUUAAGUCCCGCAACGAGCGCAACCCUUAAGCUUAGUUGCCAUCAUUAAGUUGGGCACUCUAAGUUGACUGCCGGUGACAAACCGGAGGAAGGUGGGGAUGACGUCAAAUCAUCAUGCCCCUUAUGAUUUGGGCUACACACGUGCUACAAUGGACAAUACAAAGGGCAGCGAAACCGCGAGGUCAAGCAAAUCCCAUAAAGUUGUUCUCAGUUCGGAUUGUAGUCUGCAACUCGACUACAUGAAGCUGGAAUCGCUAGUAAUCGUAGAUCAGCAUGCUACGGUGAAUACGUUCCCGGGCCU